rnacentral:ncRNA from 1 species
AGGUUUGGUCCUAGCCUUUCCAUUAAUUACUAGCAAAAUUACACAUGCGAGGAUCCCCUUACCGGUGAGAAUACCCUUUAAAUCCUAUACUGGAUUAAAAGGAGUAGGUAUCAAGCACACCUUAUAAGUAGCCUCACUACACCUUGCUUAGCCACAUCCCCACGGAAACACAGCAGUGAUAAGAAUUAAGCAAUAAACGAAAGUUUGACUUAGUUAUGCUAAUAUAGAGUUGGUAAAUUUCGUGCCAGCCACCGCGGUCAUACGAUUAACUCAAAUUAAUGGAAAACCGGCGUAAAGCGUGUUUUAGAAAUAAAAAUUAAUGGGAUUAAGUUCUAUCUAGGUCGUAAAAAACUUCAGAUUGAUACAAGACCAGUAUGCGAAAGCAAUCUCAAUAAUUCUGAAUACACGAUACCUAAGACUCAAACUGGGAUUAGAUACCCCACUAUGCUUAGGCGUAAACAUAAAAAAUUCAUAACAAAAUUAUUCGCCAGAGAACUACUAGCAACAGCUUAAAACUCAAAGGACUUGGCGGUGCUUCACAACCAUCUAGAGGAGCCUGUUCUAUAAUCGAUAAUCCCCGAUAAACCUCACCACUCCUUGCUAAUCCAGCUUAUAUACCGCCAUCUCCAGCAAACCCUAACAAGGAAAAAAAGUAAGCGCAAGUACGCACGUAAAUACGUUAGGUCAAGGUGUAGCCCAUGGAGUGGGAAGAAAUGGGCUACAUUUUCUAGUCAAGAAUAUUGUACGACAAUCUUCAUGAAAAUUGAAGAUCCAAGGAGGAUUUAGUAGUAAAUUAAGAGUAGAGCGCUUAAUUGAAUAAGGCCAUGAAGCACGUACACACCGCCCGUCACCCUCCUCAAAUACCCAACCACUAUUUUAUACCUAAUACAACCGGACAAGUACUAGAGGAGACAAGUCGUAACAAGGUAAGCAUACUGGAAAGUGUGCUUGGAUAA